rnacentral:rRNA from 1 species
GACGAACGCUGGCGGCGUGCCUAAUACAUGCAAGUAGAACGCUGAAGGAGGAGCUUGCUUCUCUGGAUGAGUUGCGAACGGGUGAGUAACGCGUAGGUAACCUGCCUGGUAGCGGGGGAUAACUAUUGGAAACGAUAGCUAAUACCGCAUAAGAGUAGAUGUCGCAUGACAUUUGCUUAAAAGGUGCAAUUGCAUCACUACCAGAUGGACCUGCGUUGUAUUAGCUAGUUGGUGAGGUAACGGCUCCCCAAGGCAACGAUACAUAGCCGACCUGAGAAGGUGAUCGGCCAAACUGGGAAUGAGACACGGCCCAGACUCCUACGGGAGGCAGCAGGAGGGAAUCUUCGGCAAUGGACGGAAGUCUGACCGAGCAACGCCGCGGGAGUGAAGAAGGUUUUCGGAUCGGAAAGCUCUGUUGUAAGGGAAGAACGAGUGUGAGAGUGGAAAGUUCACACUGUGACGGUAUCUGACCAGAAAGGGACGGCUAACUACGUG